rnacentral:piRNA from 1 species
UCUAUUUCAGAACUAAGACGC